rnacentral:rRNA from 1 species
AUACGGGGGGAGCAAGCGUUGUCCGGAAUCAUUGGGCGUAAAGGGCACGUAGGCGGUUUCUUAAGUCGAAUGUGAAAUCUCACGGCUCAACCGUGAAACUGCGUUCGAAACUAAGUGACUUGAGUUUGGGAGAGGUGUACGGAAUUCCUGGUGUAGCGGUGGAAUGCGUAGAUAUCAGGAAGAACACCAAUGGCGAGGGCAGUACACUGGCCUGAAACUGACGCUGAGGUGCGAAAGCGUGGGGAGCAAACAGGAUUAGAAACCCCGGUAGUCC